CUUACAAUGUACUUUGUUGGUGCUCGAGACUUGGUUCGCAAGUUUCAGUUCAACGGGAAGCAGGAGAGCCAUCCCCCUCGGGGUUAACUCCACCUGCGCUGCCCCCGCAACGGUCAGCAGACGGGCUUUUUCAAAGCCCCGCUUUCAUCAAUCGCCACUGAGUGCCCUGAAACAGGCAUUUGGGAAGGUGAUGGAGGUCGAUCUGCUUAGCCCGGAUACCGGCCAACAAGGUGGUUCUCCC
rnacentral:ncRNA from 2 species